rnacentral:rRNA from 1 species
AAUCUUCCGCAAUGGACGCAAGUCUGACGGAGCAACGCCGCGUGAGUGAUGAAGGUUUUCGGAUCGUAAAACUCUGUUGUUAGGGAAGAACAAGUACCGUUCGAAUAGGUCGGUACCUUGACGGUACCUAACCGAAAAGCCACGGCUAACUACGUUCCAGCACCCGCGGUAAUACGUAGGUUGCAAGCGUUAUCCUGAAUUAUUGGGCGUAAGGCGCGGCAAGGCGGUUUCUUAAGUCGGAUGUGAAAGCCCACGGCUCAACCGUGGAGGGUCAUUGGAAACUGGGGAACUUGAGUGCAGAAGAGGAGAGUGAAAUUCCAUGUGUAGCGGUGAAAUGCGUAGAGAUAUGGAGGAACACCAGUGGCGAAGGCGACUCUCUGGUCUGCAACUGACGCUGAGGCGCGAAAGCGUGGGGAGCAAAC